UAGUAGGAGAUAUAAACCAUUCUAGAUUUCAACUUUUCCAAUUGUCCUAAACCAAAAAUUUUCAUAUAUGAGACAAAAAAUUUCAACAAAUUUUACUGUAGGAAUUUCAUAGUUAGUCCACCGGCUAAGAUGAAGUUGAAUCAAAAUUCAGGAGAAGCAUAUGUGGGUUGUGGCACCAAAAUCUAUAAUCUAGCAGCUCAUUUCAAAAAUGGACAAUGGCAAAAAAUGACAAGUACCUACAACAUGAAUGGAAGCGAAAUGCACUGGAGGGAUUAGUUGUAGAGGUGUCAACCUUUACUUUGGCAAGAUGAGACUAGAGGUUAGCCAAAAGAACUUGGCAUUGUUCAACAUUCAUGUUAGCAAGGGAGUCUAUGGAAGGGGUUGUUGUCUUGUUGCUUGAAUAAGAUUUCUAAUUGUUUCAACUGGGGCAAUAACCGGGGGAAAACCAUGGAUCCAAUAGCACUUGUCAACUGUACGAUCUGGGAUGUUACAAUUUGUGCAAACAUGCAUGGCACUCUUUCUUUUUUGUAGGAUUGGAGUAAUUCAAAGAGUUUUUUACCAACAUUGUAGCAACUUCUGUGGCAGUACCAGAUAAGGUUCUUGAUUUUUAA